rnacentral:tRNA from 1 species
AACACUGCGCCGGAAUGAACGGAUUAUAUUGAUGUUAUAAAUCAUAAGGCUAUACCUUCUGUGUUU